rnacentral:rRNA from 1 species
GACGGAGGAUGCAAGCGUUAUCCGGAAUGAUUGGGCGUAAAGCGUCCGCAGGUGGCAGUUCAAGUCUGCUGUCAAAGACCGGGGCUUAACUUCGGAAAGGCAGUGGAAACUGAACAGCUAGAGUAUGGUAGGGGCAGAGGGAAUUCCUGGUGUAGCGGUGAAAUGCGUAGAGAUCAGGAGGAACACCAAUGGCGAAGGCAGCUCGCUGGGACGUUACUGACGCUGAGACGCGAAAGCGUGGGGAGCAAACAGG